rnacentral:lncRNA from 1 species
AAUCUUUCUCAUCUCACCUAUCUUAACCUUAAUUUGAAUCAAAUUUCGGGUAAGAUUCCAUUUUCUUUUGGAAAUCUUUAUAACCUCACUUAUCUUGACCUUUCUGGGAACAAUAUUGUUGGAGAAAUCCCAUCUUCUUUUGGAAACCUAAACCAGUUGACCACCUUAGAUGUUAGUCUCAAUAAGCUCAAUGGAAGCUUUUCCAUUGCACUACUGAAUUUGACAAAGUUGUCAUCUUUAAAACUCUAUGACAAUCAGUUCACAGGAACAAUUCCUCAUAACAUCACUUCACUAUCCAAAUUGACGACCUUUUAUGCAAGUAACAACGCUUUCACUGGAACCCUGCCUUCUUCUCUCUUCACCAUUCCUUCUAUUGAAGAUGUUAGAUUGUCUGAUAACCGAUUGACGAACUUGACCUUUCCCAUUACAAGACACAAGGUCCAGUUGACUUUAGCAUCUUCUCAUAUCUCAAGUGGCUAUAUAUUCUUGACCUAUCCUAUUUGAACACAACCACUGCCAUUGACUUGAAUGAUUUCUUGUCAUAUUUUAAGAGUCUCGGUGUGUUGGAUCUCUCAGGCAACCAUGUUUCAGCCACAAACAAGAGUACAAUUUCAGAUCCUUCUUCUUUGUAUCAGUUGCACUUGUCAGGCUGCGGUAUCACCGAGCUCCCGGAGUUUGUAAGAUUGCAAAAUAUGGAGAAGGUAGACAUUUCUAACAAUAAAAUCAAAGGAAAAGUGCCUGGCUGGUUAUGGAAGCUACCAAAUCUGUCUUACCUCGAUAUUUCCACCAACAAUUUCACCGGCUUCGAAAAUGCAACUAAACAUGGGCUAUCUUUAAUGACCUUGUUAGCCUCCAACAACAAUUUCAGUGGAAAGAUUCCCUCUUUCAUAUGUGAUUUGGGCUCUGUAGAAACUCUUGAUUUAUCAAACAACAACUUCAAUGGUUCAAUCCCUCGUUGUCUGGGUAAUCUCAACUAUACUCUUACAGAUCUAAACCUUGGUAAAAAUCGUCUCCAUGGAGGUCUUCCAGGGAAUAUAUUUGAAAGCUUAAGAGCGCUUGACGUCGGUCAUAACCAACUUACGGGAAAACUUCCAAUGUCUUUGAUCAAUUUCUCUAGUCUUGAAGUUCUGAACGUGGAAAGCAACAUUAUCAAUGAUACGUUUCCAAUCUGGUUGAGUUCUCUACCAGAGCUCAAUAUUCUUGUAUUACGCUCCAAUGCCUUCCACGGACCGAUACAUCAAACUUCCUUCCCUAAGUUGAAAAUCAUCGACAUAUCACACAAUCACUUCAAUGGAGCUUUGCCAUCAGACUUCUUUGUGAAGUGGAGUGCUAUGUCAUCACUUGGGACAGUUUAUGAUCAGCCGGAUGAAAUGUACAUGGGAUAUUACUAUUACCAUGAUUCAAUGGUGUUGAUGAAUAAAGGUUUAGGGAUGGAAUUUCAACGUAUCCUAAAAACUUUGAGAGCACUCGACUUUUCAGGAAACAAAUUUGAAGGAGAGAUCCCAAGGUCUAUCGGUCUAUUAAAAGAGCUUCUUAUGCUUAACUUGUCGAAUAAUGCUUUCACUGGCCACAUCCCUUCAUCUAUGGGAAACCUGACAGCUCUUGAGUCACUGGACGUUUCCCAAAACCAGCUUUCAGGAGAAAUUCCGCAAGAGCUAGGGAGUCUCUCAUUCCUUUCGUACAUGAACUUCUCGCAUAACCAGCUUACAGGUCUAGUACCAGGAGGCACUCAGUUUCAAAGGCUGAACUGCACUUCCUUUGAGGAUAAUCCGGGACUUUCUGGCCCUUCUCUUGACGAAAUUUGCAGAGAUAUUCACACGCCAACACCGCAUGAAACGUUGGAGUCAGAGGAAGAAGAAGAAGAGGAAGAGGUGUUGAGUUGGAUAGCAGCUGUAAUAGGAGUCAUACCUGGUAUUGCCUUUGGAUGGGCGAUUGGAUACAUACUUUUUUCGUACAAACCAGAGUGGUUCAUCAACCCUUUUGCCCGAAACAAGUGCAGAAUCAGCAGCACCACAACUCAUUAAAAAGGUAAUUUUCAAGAGUUUUAAAUCAACUUGUUAGAAAACACUGGAAGAAACAAAAAUAUUAAUAGUGAAAUCACCUGAGUUAACCUUUUCUUUUUUUGGUACAGGUCUUUUAUAAGCUACCUGAGGAAUCUGGAAGAAGAAAUCCAAAGGACCACUAUGUCUAUCCGUAUCAAAUAAGAUUUGGGAUAUCGUUUCUGGUUUAGCUUGGUGUGUUUUUUCUCUAUCUCUAUUUUUUUACGUUUUAGCAAACUUCUUUGUUUCUCUGUAAUUGAACAACAACUAUGCUUCUUACGCUGAAAAUUACAAGCACAGUCAAAGAUGUAUCGUUUUUCCCCCUCUUGUGAAUCUUAACAUCAACUGUUUAGACGUUAGAUGAGCAAUGAACAGAUGAUCCAGAUAAAAGCUAUAAUCAACACAGGGCUUUAGAAAAGGAUGUACAUAUUAUAUAUGGAUAUUUCGAUUGUUCAUAUCAAUGAGACACAUUAAUUCAUAGAAACUAUAGACUUUGCAAAUAUAAUUAUCAAGAUUCCAUUUUGUGUAUAUACGAAGUUCAAAAGGUUUUAAGCUUAUGAUUUUCGAAUGUGACAAUACAAAAUAAUAAAAAAAGUUUGCGUUGAUUUAUCUUGUGAUUGGUAAUAUUCUCAUUGAUAAUGAAUGAUGAGUAGAAGAGGAAGAGAAAUGGCUAGUAAAGGCCUAAAGGGGUCUUGUUUUCUCCAUGUCCACACUCUCUUGUUUCUAAUUCAACCUUUGAUUGUUUGAUUAAAUAUUUAUAAUCUAAAUUAACAAUAACCAAAUAUAUAUAUACUCAUUUAAAAUUGGGAAAAUUGCUAAAAGAGAACAAAAAAACAAGGUUGUUGUCCCUUUAGUAUAAAACCAACAUAAAGUUGUCUCAAUAGUAUAAUUUUUCUCAUAAUCCCAAAACUAACCCUAUAUUUAAUCUAAUUAAACACAAUUUAAAAGUUAAUUUGAAUUUUAAAAAAAAAGUUAAUGGAAAAAAGGUAAAAAACAGUAGAAAGGCAAUCGAAAAAAAAAAGAGGUAUAGAUAUGCAUCAUAGAGAACAAGAGUUUGUGAGAAGAAUCAAAAGAAAAACUAUGGAAAAACCAUAGAUUGAUGAAGAAGAGAAGGAAUAAUCGUUUUUUUUUAAAUUUUUUAAGUAAAAUCGACCAUAACACGUUUUAGAAAGUUAAAAUAUUUCUAAGAGAUUUUUAGAAUAUUUUCUUAACUGAAAUUUCAUUAAUUUUCGCAAAAAAUCAAGUAUUCUUAUCCGUAGAAGGCGACUUCUAAAAGUUUAGAAGAAUGAUAAAAAUUCUGAAUACACUUUCUACUUUGAGUAGACGUAAGAUUACAUUGUAGAAAACACAUUCCUCGAAAUUUAGAAUACUUUAUAAAAGUAGAAGAUGCAUUCGGAAGGAAAGUGGAUACCUUUACGAUUAGUAGAAUGUGCAUUCCUCUUUUUUAGAAAUUUAGUAAAUAGUAAAAUGAACGUUCUAAAAGAAGUAGAUGAACGUGUUUAUUUUAGAAAUCGUUUUCUACUAUACCAUUUUUCAUAGAAGACGCAUUCUACUUUUAGUAGAACGUAUUUUAAAAAUCUUAUUUACCAAAUUUUUGAGCAAAAGAAAAUUACCAGCUUGUGUAUAUGGAUGUUUUAUUAAUUUUUUAUAUUUUUAAUAAUUUUUUUGAUUCAUAAAAUUAUUUAUUUCAUUAGUUUUCAGAAAUACAAAGGGUAAAAAGGAGAAAAACUAGACAAAAUUAGUUUUAUACUAAAAGGACAACAACCUAAUUUUUUUGUUCUCUUUUGGCAAUUUUCCCUUUAAAAUUUGGGUUUAACGAUCAUUAUCCAUUUGAUAAGAAAAUUCCUCUUGGAUCUUUCUUUUUAUAUUUUUCCUGACUGACUUUUUAAUCGAAUCCAAGUCUUGCUUCUCUUUGUUUUGGUGUCCACGAUCUCAAAAAAGAAACAGCCAACUGAUUGGUCACUUUCACAAUCCCUCUGGUACGUUAUCCUUUGAUUUUUCAACAUUAUACUUAAAGCUCAAUACCAAAAUCUCAAAGAUAAGCCACUACAUGAUCAUGAUGUGUGUGACCUACGAGCUUGGACUCGAACCCACGAGCCAAUCAUGUAACUAGCAAUGAAAAGAUCAAGCCAACACAAAUGAUGAAUAGGCCCAUGCCUUGCCCCCAUUCUGUUCCCUUCUUAAUUAAUCUACAAAAACAAAAUCUUCUUCAGAAGAAGAUGCGUGAGCUUCAACACGAUAAAGAUUGAUGCAAAGUCAUAUAAGCAAACAGCCAAAUCAAUAGCUUGGUGGGUUUGGUCUUCCAAAAGUAAAUUAUGGAAGAACAUGAAUGUCUCUGAUGUACAUUGUCCUGGAAAGAGAACUCUGAGACCUGAUUACGCAAAAGACUAAUUGCUGAUAACAAAAAAAGGAGAAAAGAACGCUAUUUGAAACUGCAGGCAUUGAUACAGAAACUAUCAUACAUUAAACACUUGACAAAAGUACAUGUUGAUAUGUCUGUCAGAUUACUACAAGAGUUUCUUUCACCAAUCUGCUUUGCUACCAAUGUACCCUAAAUAAGAUAAGUAAACACAAAAAAAAAAGCAUUACUCUAACUUGAAACCUAGUGAGUAAGAAUAAUAACAGUUUCUCCAAUCUCCAUGAGCUGAGCUCUCAGAUCCAACCAUUGCUCUACCAGAGUAUAGCUUCUCCACAAAACUAAUCUCUACAACUUCUUCCCUGUACAACAACAGCACAAUUCAAGUUUUCAGUAACUCAAUUGAGUAGAUGCUCAAAGUUAUGGUUCCAAAUCAACAAUCUCAAGCCUCACAAGCUUAAAGAUUCAUCUUUACAAGCACAUAAAAAUGAAAACUUUCCUUUCUGCCUUCAACUUAGCCACAUCGUUUAUCAACCUGCCUUUAACUAGACAAGUCGAAAAUAUAACCCUCUGAGCAAUCUAGAAGGUUACGUAUGACGUCCUAUGUUCUGAGCCAAUUCGAAUCUUCGAGCCCUACAUCUUCAAUUCCGUCAAGUUUACGCUAGAUUGCUCUCCAGAGCCUCCUGGUACCACCAUUGUAGUAAUCGAAGUUGCGAGAGCAAAAGCCUUCUCAUGCCUACACUAAAGGUGAUGUAUUGCUCUAUUCAGGGUUGGCUCCUUUAUUCAGAGAAUAUAAAUAUUUUUAAAAUAAAUCUUGAUAAAAUAAUACAAAGCUCUUUUAAAUUUGGAAUAGGGCUAAUAGUAACAAUUCGCUUGCUAUGUUUCAGUUGAGUUUGUUGUUUUCUUGAAGCUGUUUCUGUCCUUUGUAUACUUGUGUGCGAUCUUGUUUGAUAAGUUUAUAGAGUUGGACAUGAAUGUAAUGAUGCUCUUGUAGGCUAAAUCAUCAAGCGUUGAAGCAUCUUUGAAGUAUAAGAAUAUUUUUUGGAUAUGGGACGGUUCUAUAUAGUUUAUGGCUGUGAGGAUUGUAUUUGCCGAAGUUCAAAAGACUUCCCACUCCUUUUAGUUCCCGUCUUUACUUUUCGACUCAAGACUGGCUUACGUUUUCUUCUUGCAAAGAAGGUUCUCUCAGACUUUUCUCUUGGUCUUCUCUCAAGCAAGUACACGAGCUGGUCUACACGGUAAGCUGGUAGUCUGAUAGACCUGUAUCAAUCAAUGAGGAGGCAACUGGGACAUAGUCUGCUUUCUGCAUUCAAGCAUACUAUUAAAUAUGACGAGAGAAAUAUCCACACAUGAACUUAAUAUCGAUUAGGAAAAUCAUUUUAGUGGUCAAGAACGAGUUUGAGGUUCUAGACUCUUCCUUUGCUUAUGAUUGUUAUUUUGAUAUAGUAAAGCUUCAUCCGAAAACGGAGUCAUGGGCGAAUAACAGCGACUGUUGUACUUGGGAGGGUAUCAAGUGCAACGUCAAGUCCGGUGAAGUGAUCGAGCUAGACCUUAGUUGCAGCUACCUAGGUGGCCGGUUUCAUUCCAAUAGCAGUCUUCAAAACCUUCAUUCUCUCACCACCCUAGACCUUUCAGGAAAUCGUUUUAGUGGUCAAAUCAUGUCUUCAAUUAAAAACCUUUCUCAUAUCACCUCUCUGGACCUUUCACUUAAUCAGUUCAGCGAGAACAUUCCUUCUUCGAUAGUAGACCUUUCGUAUCUCACCUAUCUCGAUCUUACAUAUAAUCGUUUUCCUGGUCAGAUUCCAUCUUCUAUUGGAAAUCUUUAUAACCUCACUUAUCUUGACCUUUUUGGGAACGAUAUUGUUGGCGAAAUCCCAUCUUCUUUUGGCAAUCUAAACCAGUUGACCAGCUUAAAUGUUUACUACAAUAAUCUCAAUGGAAGCUUUCCCAUUGCACUACUGAAUAUGAAAGAGUUGUCAUCUUUAAUGCUCAACGGCAAUGAGUUCACAGGCACAAUUCCUCCUAACAUCACUUCACUAUCCAAAUUGACGAAUUUUAUAGCAAGUUACAACGCUUUCACUGGGACCCUGCCUUCUUCUCUCUUCACCAUUCCUUCUAUGGAUCGUGUUGAUAUGUCUGAUAGCCAACUCAACGGUAUUCUUGAGUUUGGGAAUAUAUCUUCACUACCUAAGCUACGAGAGUUAGACAUUGGCCAAAACAACUUGAGAGGGCCAAUCCCGGAAACGAUAUCCAAAUUUACAAACCUUGUCCGACUUGGCCUUUCCAAUUACAAGACACAAGGUCCAGUUGACUUUAGUAUUUUCUCGCAUCUCAAGUGGCUUGAAUAUCUUGACUUAUCCUAUUUGAACAUGACCACUACGAUUGACUUGAAUGAUUUCUUGUCAUAUUAUAAGAGGCUCGAGAGGUUGGUUCUCUCAGGCAACCAUGUUACAGCCACAAACAAGAGUCCAGUUUUAAAUUCCCCUUUGUUGUAUAAGUUGCACUUGUCAGGCUGCGGUAUCACCGAGUUUCCUGAGUUUGUAAGAUCGCAAAAUAAAAUCAAAGGACAAGUGCCUGGCUGGUUAUGGACGCUACCAAAUCUUACUUACCUGAAUCUUUCCAACAACACUUUCACUGGCUUCGAAAACUCAACUACAGUUUCACCUUCAAGGCUAUAUAACAUAAACGUGCUUGCCUCAGACAACAAUUUCACGGGAAAGAUUCCCUCUUUCAUAUGUGAUUUGCCCUAUGUUAACACUCUUGAUUUAUCGAACAACAACUUCAGUGGUUUAAUCCCUCGUUGUCUGGGAAAUCUCAAGUAUUCUCUUGUACUUCUAAACCUUCGUCAGAAUCGUCUUCAUGGAGGUCUUCCAGAAAAUAUAUUUGAAAGCUUAAGAACGCUUGACAUCGGUCAUAACCAACUGACGGGAAAGCUUCCAAGAACUUUGAUUCAUUUUACUUCCAGAGCUAAAAGUUUUUGUAAUACGUACGCUCCAAUGCUUUCCAUGGACCGAUACAUCAAACUUCGUUUCCUAAUAAGUUGCAAAUCAUGGACAUAUCGCACAAUCACUUCAAUGGAGCCUUCCCAUCAGACUACUUUGUGAAGUGGAGUGCUAUGUCAUCGCUUGUGACAAAUAAUGAUCGGCCGGAUGAAAGUUAUUUGCUCAAUUAAAAUUUGGGUUUAACGAACAUCUUCCAAUUUAUAACAAAAUUCCUCUUGGAUCAACCUAUAUUUUAAUUUCUUUGAUUGUCUUUUUAAUUGAAUCCAAGAGACAUCCAACUGAUUGGUUGGUACGUUAUCCUUUGAUUUUUCAACAUUAUACUUUGCAUUUUCUCUCCUUAUUUUCAACAACUUUCUCCCGCAACGUCAGUAAGCUUCUCAGUGAGGUCCUUGAAGAACAUAGACAAGAAACCGAUAACUCGUUGUCUUAUGAGACUGAUGUUCGUCUCAAGGAUCCUGUGUUACGGUUGCAUUGGAGCCAAUAGCUUCUCUGCAGAAGAAGAUGCUUGAGCUUCAACAUGAUAUAGCCAGUUGCUCGCUCUCGACCACUUGGCCAUUCUGGAGUUAACAACAACAAAGCUGCAGUCUACUUUGAUGCCGUUCUCUGAGUUUGAUCACGAGGAGAAGAGAAGCCUCAUGCAACGUUGCUUGUAGCAGCUUUUUUGAUAAUCUUGAGAGCCUAAUAUAGAUGUUUUAUGUAUCCAAUGUUAUAUCCUUUGCUUUUCGUGAAAGCUAUGAAUUGAAGCAUGUAAUUUCCAUGUCGUGGAUUCUUCACUAUGGUUUUUUUUUUCCAUAUAUGCUAUGGUUUUUGUUUAGCGUACGAAACAAGGAAACGAAGAGUGCGAGGAGACCUUCUUCGCGCCUAUUUCUCACGAAGAACUCUCGUGUCUCUACAACCUCUUCUUCACCCUCUCCCGUAAGCUCCUCACUUCAUUCCCUCUCUCCCUCAUCAUGCCUAAAUCCAACGACGGUGACGCCGUCGCAGAAUCCGAGUCGACGACAAGUGGGUCCAAGGGUGUGAAAACGACGCCGGAUUUGCGAUUUGGCAUUGGUAUUUGAUGGAUGUGUUCGUUUACUUCUCUCACUCUCUGGUGUCUCUUCCUCCUCCUUGCUGGACCAAUACAGCUCACAGGCAUGGCGUUAAGGUAAAGAAUGCAUUCUUGUGGAUACAUUAGUUGAUUUGGAUGUGGUUUCAUUAGAUUAUUGGAUUGAUACUUUCUUGUGUGUGUGUGUUAUGGAAACGUUAAUAGGUGUUGGGGACUUUCAUUACGGAAUGGGAUGAAGGUAAAGCUACCUGCAGUGAGAUGAUUGCCACUAAGGAGUCUGCUCAGAUGUAUGCUGAGCGUUUGGCUGAGCUUUCUAAUUCUCUAGGUUUCGAUGGAUGGCUGGUGAGUUUUGUCUUUGUCAUCUUAUUAUUGUUCAUGCUUGUUCUCUCCAGGUGGUGGUCACUUGUUGAGAAGUCAUGGGGAAUAGUCCAAACAUAUCCACAAGUCUUGCCUUUUUACUCUGACUUCAAUCAGGUAAAGUAUACAUCGACUGUCUUGGCUAUGAUUUAUGUUAAGUUAUCUUUUCUCGUUAAUCCAGGGCUUUGGUUACCAUGUUUCACUCGAGGGUCGCCAGUUAUCUGAUGCUCCAUGGUACAACAUUUCUUGCCAAAGUCUUCAGUUUCAACCAUCUUAUCGUCUUUGCUUUAACUGCACAUAUAAUAUUUUGUCUCUUCUCUCAUCUGAUGGGUGCCUUUGUUGUGUUAUUAAUGUUAGCCAAUCCUAGAGUUCAAGGAAGACAACACUGAUAUCAUUCAGCUCACUAUUGAGUGAGUUCUGACCCUGAUACUAAAAAAUGUUUUUGACUUCUUGUUGAUUUAGAUGCAUUUGUUUGCAAACGUAUAACGGUAAGCACAUGAAUUUGUUUAGUGCUCGAGAGGCAUCUUAUAACGGAGGAGGGAACAUUGUAUUUAAAGGAAGACUCGAAGGAGAUGUGUAUUUCACAGCAAGGCUCUUUAAACCUCUCCUUCACCUUUCUUCUUCCCCCAUCACAGUCUCCUACUCUGUAAGUCUUUGUUUUUAGAUACAUCACAUUACGAGAUCUUCUUGUUUUCUUUCUACUAAUGGAAAAUCUUGGAUUUGGUGCAGGUGAAAUCAGAUGAGACUUCUAAACUUGGACUCCUGCUUGGGUUUUCAUCACCAUCGCACCAAACUAAAUCCAUACUUGUGGCGCCACAAGAAACAACCCUAAGAUUAGAUCACAUGUUCUUGAAAUGCCUCGUCGCAUCAAAGCAGACUGUAUCCGAGUGGACGGUACACGAGACAAGCCUUGCCAUGGAUGGCUACACACUGACUGAAAUCUCUGCCUUUUGCUACAGAACAGAGAACUCGACGAAGACAUCAGAGUACGUUGCAUUGCUCGGUCACAUCUCAAUCAAAGAUCAUCAUGUUCAGCUACUCCAGCAAAACCUCGUUUCCUUACCUCCAGCGUCAUCAUGGGUCAUCGAGGCUCAUAGCAUAGAGCUUGUACCGGGUGAUUCCGGUUCUAAGAUCCUUAAGGUUAAGCUAGAAUGGAGACAGACACAGCUUGAAGACUCUGUUCUCCCAGUGUACAAUGUGUAUGCAGAGAGUGUGAAGUCAACUGAUGUACUAAGAUCGAGGAAGGUUUUGGAGAAACCAAGAAGCGAGAGAGUGUUCCUAGGAGUGUCUCACGUACCAGCCUAUUACGUUUCGGAGCUGGUGGUAGAUUCUGACGUGAAAGGAGUCAGCUUCGUGGUUCAACCGUGUGGUGAAGAUGGUUCAUGGAGUAAGCUGGAUGAUUCCCCUAACCUUCUUGUGGACUUGGAAGGUCUCUCGUAGGUUGCUUGAAACUAUAUAUGAAACGAUUAAUAAUGUAUAUUACAAAAUGACAUUAAUCUUGAAAAUGGGGGAAAACAUAAUAAAAAAAUCUGAACGAGCCUCUUCCGCAUGGAAGUUUUGGUUUCUCAUCACUAGUUGUCUCUUCUCUGUAUAUUUUAUCUAAUGAAAGUGAGAUGAUUAUCACCAAAACUUGUUAUUAUUGACGUGAGAAAGAAAAAAAUGCGGAAACUGAUUGGGUCAUCAACAUUUAUUUAUUUGUUUUUGGUUACUACAGCCAUAUAUUGAAAAAACAAGAAAGAGAUCGAGUAAAAUCUUGGUUUCUUCCUGACGAUCUCGCCCUGAGGAAUAUUAGUUGAAGAAUGUACUCACUAUGAUAUGGGCCAUAUGGCUCGAUCGCCAGUACAUUCACGACGAAGAGUUGAUUCUUCUGUCACGAAGAAUGUUCUCAUGCAGAUUGAUAUUUUUGUUCUUUUUGAUUGAUUUUUAGUAAAGAGUUUAUUCUUUUUGUCAUUUUGCAUAUAUUUCUCAUUUUGGAAGUCACGAGGAAUAAACUAAAAAUAAAAAUAAGACCGUUCGCCGUUGAUUUUUCUUGAAAAGGUUGAUGUUUGUUUUCUUCUUAUUAAUAUAGGAGAUUCAUGAUUCUUAUUUUGAAAUUCUAUCAAAAUUAAGCUAGUUUAGUAGUUAAAUUAGUUCUUUUUUUAAAGCAAGGAAUGUCAUAAAAUUUGAAUUUUUAAAUAGAAUAAGUAAAAAAGAUAAAACUUGUACUAUCAAAUCGAAAGACUACAGUAUAUGCAAAUAUGCAUGGGUCUCGUAAUCGUAAACGUUAGUACUUUUGGGUCAAUAUGCAUGGGUCGUUAGUAUACGUUAGUUUAAAUCCAAAUAUAAACCUAAGCAAAAUAAUACUUUAUAAAUUACGUCUUCUUUGGUUUAGAAAAUUCUUUUUUUUUUUUUUUGAAAAUUCAUGUAAUUAGGGUAGGGGACCAAUAUGUGUAGAAAAUUGACUAUCCGACACAAAGAUUUUGCUUUCGACGUGACGAAUAAUGUAUUUUUCUCUGUGGAUUUUGUUUUGUGUGGAGUAAAUACAGAGUCUGUUAUUGUGUAUAUAAAGAAAUGGCCAUGGAAGCAUGUAACUCAUCACCAAUUUCCCUUUUCUUUUUGCUCUUUCAGUUUUUGAUAUUCAAGAAAGUUAAAUAAGCUUAAAGAAGAAUGAAAGGCUUUUGGAACUUAACGAGUACCAUUUCUCUUACUCUUUCUAUACUUUUUUUAUUCGGCUACAGUUAUGAAGACGUGGCUGCGGUUCCAACUAAGCACUUGUGUCGUCCAGAUCAAAGGGAUGCACUUCUUCAGUUCAAGAACGAGUUUGAGGUUUUAAACUCUUCCUUAAAUUAUUAUUGUAUUAUCAAUAUAACUAUAGUAAAGCGCCUUCGGAAGACAGAGUCGUGGAUGAAUAACAGCGACUGCUGUAAUUGGGAGGGUAUCACGUGCAACCCCAAUUCCGGUGAAGUGAUCGAGCUAAACCUUAGUUGCAGCAACCUACGUGGCAAGUUUCAUUCUAAAAGCAGUCUUCGAAACCUUCAUUCUCUAACGACUCUACUCCUUUCAAAUAAUGAAUUUAGUGGUCCAAUCAUGUCUUUAAUUGGAAACCUUUCUCAUCUCACGUCUCAGGACCUUUCGCGAAAUGGUUUGAGCGAGUUCAUUCCUUCUUCGAUAGUAGACCUUUCUUAUCUCACCUUUCUCGAUCUUUCAUCUAAUAGUUUUUCUGGUCCGAUUUCGUCUUUGAUUGGAAACCUUUCUUAUCUCACCUUUCUCGAUCUUUCAUCUAAUAGUUUUUCUGGUCCGAUUCCAUCUUCAAUUGGAAAUCUUUCUCAUCUCACCUAUCUUAACCUUAAAGAUAGUGAAAUUUCGGGUACGAUUCCAUCUUCUAUUGGAAAUCUUUAUAACCUCACUUAUCUUGACCUUUCUUACAACAAUAUUGUUGGAGAAAUCCCAUCUUCUUUUGGCAAUCUAAACCAGUUGACCAGCUUAUCUGUUGGUCUCAAUAGGCUAAAUGGACGCUUUCCCAUUGCAAUACUAAAUUUGACAAAGUUGUCAUCUUUAGGACUCUAUGACAAUCAGUUCACAGGAACAAUUCCUCAUAACAUCACUUCACUAUCCAAAUUGACGACCUUUGAUGGAAGUAACAACGCUUUCACUGGGACCCUGCCUUCUUCUUUCUUCACCAUUCCUUCUAUGUAUAGUGUUGAUUUGUCUGAUAAUCAAUUCAACGGUAUUCUUGACCUUGGGAAUAUAUCUUCACCACCUCAGCUAGGACUGUUAUACGUUGGCAAUAACAACUUGAGAGGGCCAAUCCCAGCCACGAUAUCAAAAUUUACCAACCUUGUCGAACUUGAGCUUUCCCAUUACAAGACACAAGGUCCAGUUGACUUUAGUAUCUUCUCGCAUCUCAAGUUGCUCCAAGAUCUUGACCUAUCCUAUUUGAACACAACCACUGCCAUUGACUUGAAUGAUUUCUUGUCAUAUUUUAAGCGCCUCGGUGUGUUGGUUCUCUCAGGCAACCAUGUUACAGCCACAAACAAGAGUCCAGUUCCCGUUUCCCCUUUGUUGCAUCAGUUGCACUUGUCGGGCUGCGGUAUCACCAAGCUUCCGGAGUUUGUAAGAUUGAAAAAUUUGGAGAGUCUAGACAUUUCCAACAAUAAAAUCAAAGGGCAAGUGCCUGGCUGGUUAUGGACACUACCAAAGCUGAGUUACCUGGAUCUUUCUAACAACACUUUCACUGGCUUCAAAAGCUCAACGAAACAUGGACUAUCUUUAAAAUAUUUGUUAGCCUCUGACAACAAUUUCACAGGAGAGAUUCCCUCAUUCAUAUGCGAUCUGCGUGGUUUAUUCAUUCUUGAUUUAUCAAACAACAACUUCAGUGGUGUAAUCCCUCCUUGUAUGGAAAAUCUCUAUCUGGCAGUUCUAAAUAACAGCGACUGCUGUAAUUGGGAGGGUAUCACGUGCAACCCCAAUUCCGGUGAAGUGAUCGAGCUAAACCUUAGUUGCAGCAACCUACGUGGCAAGUUUCAUUCUAAAAGCAGUCUUCGAAACCUUCAUUCUCUAACGACUCUACUCCUUUCAAAUAAUGAAUUUAGUGGUCCAAUCAUGUCUUUAAUUGGAAACCUUUCUCAUCUCACCUCUCUGGACCUUUCGCGAAAUGGUUUCAGCGAGUUCAUUCCUUCUUCGAUAGUAGACCUUUCUUAUCUCACCUUUCUCGAUCUUUCAUCUAAUAGUUUUUCUGGUCCGAUUUCGUCUUUGAUUGGAAACCUUUCUUAUCUCACCUUUCUCGAUCUUUCAUCUAAUAGUUUUUCUGGUCCGAUUCCAUCUUCAAUUGGAAAUCUUUCUCAUCUCACCUAUCUUAACCUUAAAGAUAGUGAAAUUUCGGGUACGAUUCCAUCUUCUAUUGGAAAUCUUUAUAACCUCACUUAUCUUGACCUUUCUUACAACAAUAUUGUUGGAGAAAUCCCAUCUUCUUUUGGCAAUCUAAACCAGUUGACCAGCUUAUCUGUUGGUCUCAAUAGGCUAAAUGGACGCUUUCCCAUUGCAAUACUAAAUUUGACAAAGUUGUCAUCUUUAGGACUCUAUGACAAUCAGUUCACAGGAACAAUUCCUCAUAACAUCACUUCACUAUCCAAAUUGACGACCUUUGAUGGAAGUAACAACGCUUUCACUGGGACCCUGCCUUCUUCUUUCUUCACCAUUCCUUCUAUGUAUAGUGUUGAUUUGU